rnacentral:rRNA from 1 species
UACGUAGGUGGCAAGCGUUGUCCGGAAUUAUUGGGCGUAAAGAGUGCGUAGGCGGUCUAAUAAGUCUCAUUUGAAAGCCCAUGGCUUAACCAUGGAGGGUGAUGGGAAACUGUAAGACUUGAGUACAGGAGAGGAAGGUGGAAUUCCACGUGUAGCGGUGAAAUGCGUAGAUAUGUGGAGGAACACCGGUGGCGAAGGCGGCCUUCUGGCCUGUGUCUGACGCUGAGGCACGAAAGCGUGGGUAGCAAACAGG